GUGCUUGCUUUGGCAGCACAUAUACUAAAACUGGAAUGACAGAGAGGAGAUUGGCAUGGCCGCUGCACACAGAAUGACACUGAAAUUCGAGGAGCAUUCCAUAUCUUU
ensembl:snRNA LOC120093300 U6 spliceosomal RNA